rnacentral:rRNA from 1 species
GUGCCAGCAGCCGCGGUAAGACGAACCGUGCGAACGUUAUUCGGAAUCACUGGGCUUAAAGGGUGCGUAGGCUGCGAGGAGGGUGGGGUGUGAAAUCCCUCGGCUUAACCGAGGAAUUGCGCUCCAAACCGCCUUGCUGGAGUGAGACAGAGGUGAGCGGAACUAAUGGUGGAGCGGUGAAAUGCGUUGAUAUCAUUAGGAACACCAGAGGCGAAGGCGGCUCACUGGGUCUCAACUGACGCUGAUGCACGAAAGCUAGGGUAGCGAACGGGAUUAGAUACCCCCGUAGUCC